rnacentral:rRNA from 1 species
AUGACGACCGGCGCACGGGUGCGUAACGCGUAUAGAACCUACCUAUUACUGGAGGAUAGCCCAGAGAAAUUUGGAUUAAUACUCCAUGGUAUUGUUGACUGGCAUCAGUUAAUAAUUAAAGAUUUAUUGGUUAGAGAUGGCUAUGCGUCUUAUUAGCUAGUUGGUUAGGUAACGGCUAACCAAGGCAACGAUAAGUAGGGGUCCUGAGAGGGAGAUCCCCCACACUGGUACUGAGACACGGACCAGACUCCUACGGGAGGCAGCAGUGAGGAAUAUUGGACAAUGGAGGCAACUCUGAUCCAGCCAUGCCGCGUGUAGGAAGACUGCCCUAUGGGUUGUAAACUACUUUUAUAGAGGAAGAAACCCCGGUAUGUAUACCGGUCUGACGGUACUCUACGAAUAAGGAUCGGCUAACUCCGUGCCAGCAGCCGCGGUAAUACGGAGGAUCCAAGCGUUAUCCGGAAUCAUUGGGUUUAAAGGGUCCGUAGGCGGGUUUAGAAGUCAGUGGUGAAAGUUUGCGGCUCAACCGUAAAAUUGCCAUUGAUACUGUAGAUCUUGAAUUAUUGUGAAGUGGUUAGAAUGUGUAGUGUAGCGGUGAAAUGCAUAGAUAUUACACAGAAUACCGAUUGCGAAGGCAGAUCACUAACAAUUGAUUGACGCUAAGGGACGAAAGCGUGGGUAGCGAACAGGAUUAGAUACCCUGGUAGUCCACGCUGUAAACGAUGGUUACUAGCUGUUCGAUUUUCGGAUUGAGUGGCUAAGCGAAAGUGAUAAGUAACCCACCUGGGGAGUACGUUCGCAAGAAUGAAACUCAAAGGAAUUGACGGGGGCCCGCACAAGCGGUGGAGCAUGUGGUUUAAUUCGAUGAUACGCGAGGAACCUUACCAGGCUUAAAUGUAG